rnacentral:rRNA from 1 species
UGGGGAAUAUUGGACAAUGGGGGCAACCCUGAUCCAGCCAUGCCGCGUGUGCGAAGAAGGCCUUCGGGUUGUAAAGCACUUUCAGCGGGGAGGAAGGCUCAAUGGUUAAUAGUCAUUGGGAUUGACGCUACCCGCAGAAGAAGCACCGGCAAACUCCGUGCCAGCAGCCGCGGUAAUACGGAGGGUGCGAGCGUUAAUCGGAAUUACUGGGCGUAAAGCGCACGUAGGCGGUUUGAUAAGCGAGAUGUGAAAUCCCUGGGCUUAACCUGGGAAUGGCAUUUCGAACUGUCAGGCUAGAGUACGGUAGAGGAUGGUGGAAUUCCCGGUGUAGCGGUGAAAUGCGUAGAUAUCGGGAGGAACAUCGGUGGCGAAGGCGGCCAUCUGGACUGAUACUGACGCU